rnacentral:rRNA from 1 species
AACGCGAAGAACCUUACCAGGUCUUGACAUCCUCUGACAACCCUAGAGAUAGGGCGUUCCCCUUCGGGGGACAGAGUGACAGGUGGUGCAUGGUUGUCGUCAGCUCGUGUCGUGAGAUGUUGGGUUAAGUCCCGCAACGAGCGCAACCCUUGAUCUUAGUUGCCAGCAUUCAGUUGGGCACUCUAAGGUGACUGCCGGUGACAAACCGGAGGAAGGUGGGGAUGACGUCAAAUCAUCAUGCCCCUUAUGACCUGGGCUACACACGUGCUACAAUGGACGGUACAAAGGGCAGCAAACCUGCGAAGGUAAGCAAAUCCCAUAAAGCCAUUCUCAGUUCGGAUUGCAGGCUGCAACUCGCCUGCAUGAAGCCGGAAUCGCUAGUAAUCGCGGAUCAGCAUGCCGCGGUGAAUACGUUCCCGGGUCUUGUACACACCG